GACGAACGCUGGCGGCGUGCUUAACACAUGCAAGUCGAACGGAACUCUUUGGAUAGAGGCUUCGGCCAAUUGAAUCUGAGUUUAGUGGCGGACUGGUGAGUAACGCGUGAGGAACCUGCCUUUCAGAGGGGGACAACAGUUGGAAACGACUGCUAAUACCGCAUGAUAUGUAGAGAUCGCAUGGUUUUUACAUCAAAGAUUUUAUCGCUGAAAGAUGGCCUCGCGUCUGAUUAGCUAGUUGGUGGGGUAACGGCCCACCAAGGCGACGAUCAGUAGCCGGACUGAGAGGUUGACCGGCCACAUUGGGACUGAGAUACGGCCCAG
rnacentral:rRNA from 1 species